rnacentral:rRNA from 1 species
GAUGAACGCUGGCGGCGUGCCUAAUACAUGCAAGUCGAGCGAACAGACGAGGAGCUUGCUCCUCUGACGUUAGCGGCGGACGGGUGAGUAACACGUGGAUAACCUACCUAUAAGACUGGGAUAACUUCGGGAAACCGGAGCUAAUACCGGAUAAUAUAUUGAACCGCAUGGUUCAAUAGUGAAAGACGGUUUUGCUGUCACUUAUAGAUGGAUCCGCGCCGCAUUAGCUAGUUGGUAAGGUAACGGCUUACCAAGGCAACGAUGCGUAGCCGACCUGGGAGGGUGAUCGGCCACACGGGAACUGAGACACGGUCCGGACUCCUACGGGAGGCAGCAGUAGGGAAUCUUCCGCAAUGGGCGAAAGCCUGACGGAGCAACGCCGCGUGAGUGAUGAAGGUCUUCGGAUCGUAAAACUCUGUUAUUAGGGAAGAACAAAUGUGUAAGUAACUAUGCACGUCUUGACGGUACCUAAUCAGAAAGCCACGGCUAACUACGUG